CCAAAGAGUUCUCCUCCACCAUGGCUCAUCCCUCCGGUGUGCCACCCCACUCUCAAAAACAUCACAUCCCUCUUCUAUCUUGCCUACCAUCCUCCAAAGUAUCGACCCUCCCUUGUUGCGUUGUUGAAACACCGUCGGCGCCUUCCCUGUCCUCCUUGUAUCUAGAUCUAGUACCGAAGGUAAUCGCUCAUGGCCAGAUAUCUGGUCUCCAUGUCAUCCCCACAUUUAGAUCUGGUCUCAUCGGCAAUAGAGGAUACAUUCAUCCUCUUGAUGGCUAGAUUUGGUCUUCAUGUCAUCCCCAUGUUCAGAUCUGGUCUCAUCGACAACAGGGGAUGCCUUCAUCCUCUCGAUGGCUAGAUCUAGGUGCUCGUCCUUUUCCCCAUCACCACUGUGGUCAGGUUCGGUCUUCAAUCCUUCCUUCGUUGUCUUAGCGGACAGAUGUGGAAACAACACCGACAAUCAAUGGACAGCUAGAUAGCUUGGGCAAAUUACAAAGGAUCCCGGCGAUAAGCAUUUGCCAUGAAAGUUGUUCAUUACUUUCCUGUUUCUUGCUUAUAGCUCGCCUCGAGGAACAAUUCAACACAUGAAAAGUACCCUCCUUCACAUUAUCUUUUUUUUGCGAGGAACCCUCCCUCACAUUAUCAACCUCAUUUAUCCUUUCUUGUCCAGAGGCAAUGCAUAGUUUCAGUGCAAGAAAAAUAUUAUCGAGGAGGAUCGUGGCUAAUAAGCUAUCACAUCUCCCUUCUAUUUUGUCGACCAUCCUCCAAAGUAUCGACCCUCCCUUGUUGUGUUGGUGAAACACCGUCAACGUGUUCCUUAUCCUCCAUGUAUCUAGAUCUAGUAUCGCAAUCAGUCACGAAUGGCCAGAUCCGGUCUCCAUGUCAUCCCCACAUUUAGAUCUGGUUCCAUCGAGAACAGAGGAUGCAUUCAUCCUCUCGAUGGCUAGAUCUAGGUGCCCGCCCUUCUCCCCAUCACUUUUGUGGUCAUGUUCAAGCAUCUUUCUAUCAUUGUUCACGUUAUCUGAUCUGGUCUCUCAUUCUUCAUAUGUUCCAUGGUCAGAUGCGAUCUCUCAUCAUCCCUUUCAUCCCAUUGCCAGCUCCGAUCUUCCAUCCUUCCUCUGUUGUCUUGCGAACAUAUGUGGAAACGACACCGACAAUCAAUGGUAUGUUUAUACAUUUACUUUGUUCUUAUUAUGUAAUGCCGGCUUGAUAGCCUGCCGCUGAGCCAUCCCCUUUCUUUCUUCUCCAUGUGGGACCCACGAUGGCCAGAUAGCGUGGGCAAAUUACGAAGGAUCCCGGCGAUAAGCACUUGCCCUGGAAAUUGUUCAUUGCUUUCCUAUUUCUUGCUAUAGCUCAACCACUGCCUCGAGGAACAAUGCAACACAUGGCAGGUACCCUUCCUCACCUUAUCAGCCUCAUUUAUCCUUUCUCGAGCACACUCUAUGGCAAACAAGCCAUGGAAAUCCAAACCAGUGUUAGGAGGAGAGGCCCCACACAAAAAAAUAUGAAGAAACAAUUGCCUAGAUAAGCCAGGGCUCCACGGGGGAAAGCGAAGGAAAGCAAUCUCGGCACUUUCCCCCCUAAAUUACAGCGCUCUUCAUCCCACGUCGAAGGAUCUCAUCAGGUCGUAGGACACAUCUCUCUCCCUGCCCCGACCCCGAUAUAUUCUCCCCCCUCCGUCCGCCUUGUCUCGCUCUCUCGUUCUCUGCGGGAC